rnacentral:rRNA from 1 species
AUAUACAGUCGUAAGAUGAAUGUGCAAAUCCCACGCUGCCAAGAAAAGCUUCUAACGUUAAUAUAUGACUGCCCGUACUGUAAACCGACACAGGUGGUCAGGAUGAGAAAUCUAAGGCGGACAGGCUAACUCUCGUUAAGGAACUCUGCAAAAUAACCUCGUAACUUCGGGAGAAGAGGAGCCCUUGUGUGUGAGUAUACAUGCGAUACAAAGCGCACGAGGGUCGCAGUGAAGAGGCUCAAGCAACUGUUUAACAAAAACACAGGUCUAUGCUAAGCUGUAAGGCGAUGUAUAUGGGCUGACACCUGCCCAGUGCUGGAAGGUUAAGAGGAGGAGUGAGAGCUCCGAAUUGAAGCCCCAGUGAACGGCGGCCGUAACUAUAACGGUCCUAAGGUAGCGAAAUUCCUUGUCGGGUAAGUUCCGACCUGCACGAAUGGUGAAAUGAUUUGAGAGCUGUCUUGGCUGGAGGCCUGGUGAAGUUGUAAUGCCGGUGAAGAUACCGGCUACCUGCAGUAGGACGGAAAGACCCCGUGGAGCUUCACUGCAGCCUGGCAUUGGGUUCUGGCAACGUGUGUAUAGGAUAGUUGGGAGACUGCGAAGUUGAGGCGCCAGCCUCUUCCGAGUCGCUGUUGGAAUACCAACCAUAUGCUGCCGGAAUUCUAAUCCGCUCGCGGAGACAGUGCUAGGCGGGCAGUUUGACUGGGGCGGUCGCCUCCAAAAGAGUAACGGAGGCGUUCAAAGGUUCCCUCGGGCUGGAUGGAAAUCAGCCUUCGAGUGCAAACGCAUAAGGGAGCUUGACUGCAAGACCGACGGGUCGAGCAGGUACGAAAGUAGGAGUUAGUGAUCCGGCGGUCCCUCAUGGAAGGGCCGUCGCUCAACGGAUAAAAGCUACCCCGGGGAUAACAGGCUGAUACUUCCCAAGAGUCCAUAUCGACGGAAGUGUUUGGCACCUCGAUGUCGGCUCGUCUCAUCCUGGGGCUGGAGAAGGUCCCAAGGGUUGGGCUGUUCGCCCAUUAAAGAGGCACGCGAGCUGGGUUCAGAACGUCGUGAGACAGUUCGGUCCCUAUCCACUGCAGGCGCUUGAGCACUGAAAAGAUCUGACCUUAGUACGAGAGGACCGGGUUGGACAGACCUCUGAUGUAUCAGCUGUCACGCCAGUGGCACGGCUGAGUAGUCACGUCUGGCCAGGAUAAUCGCUGAAAGCAUCUAAGCGAGAAGCCGGCUUUGAGAUGAGUAUUCGCAGUAUCCAUGGAGAACACAUGGUUGAUAGGCCAGAGGUGUAAGUGCAGCAAUGCAUUCAGCUGACUGGUACUAAUAUUGCAUCUGCUUUUUAAU